GGGGAUAUGGCUCAGUGGUAGAGUGCUUGCCUAGCAUGCAUGAGGCCCUGGGUUUAAUUCCCAGCACCACCA
rfam:Ictidomys tridecemlineatus contig031663, whole genome shotgun sequence.